rnacentral:rRNA from 1 species
AUUGAACGCUGGCGGCAGGCCUAACACAUGCAAGUCGAACGGUAGCACAGAGAGCUUGCUCUCGGGUGACGAGUGGCGGACGGGUGAGUAAUGUCUGGGAAACUGCCCGAUGGAGGGGGAUAACUACUGGAAACGGUAGCUAAUACCGCAUAACGUCGCAAGACCAAAGAGGGGGACCUUCGGGCCUCUUGCCAUCGGAUGUGCCCAGAUGGGAUUAGCUUGUAGGUGAGGUAACGGCUCACCUAGGCGACGAUCCCUAGCUGGUCUGAGAGGAUGACCAGCCACACUGGAACUGAGACACGGUCCAGACUCCUACGGGAGGCAGCAGUGGGGAAUAUUGCACAAUGGGCGCAAGCCUGAUGCAGCCAUGCCGCGUGUAUGAAGAAGGCCUUCGGGUUGUAAAGUACUUUCAGCGGGGAGGAAGGGAGUGAGGUUAAUAACCUCAUUCAUUGACGUUACCCGCAGAAGAAGCACCGGCUAACUCCGUGCCAGCAGCCGCGGUAAUACGGAGGGUGCGAGCGUUAAUCGGAAUUACUGGGCGUAAAGCGCACGCAGGCGGUCUGUCAAGUCGGAUGUGAAAUCCCCGGGCUCAACCUGGGAACUGCAUUCGAAACUGGCAGGCUGGAGUCUUGUAGAGGGGGGUAGAAUUCCAGGUGUAGCGGUGAAAUGCGUAGAGAUCUGGAGGAAUACCGGUGGCGAAGGCGGCCCCCUGGACAAAGACUGACGCUCAGGUGCGAAAGCGUGGGGAGCAAACAGGAUUAGAUACCCUGGUAGUCCACGCUGUAAACGAUGUCGACUUGGAGGUUGUUCCCUUGAGGAGUGGCUUCCGGAGCUAACGCGUUAAGUCGACCGCCUGGGGAGUACGGCCGCAAGGUUAAAACUCAAAUGAAUUGACGGGGGCCCGCACAAGCGGUGGAGCAUGUGGUUUAAUUCGAUGCAACGCGAAGAACCUUACCUACUCUUGACAUCCAGAGAACUUAGCAGAGAUGCUUUGGUGCCUUCGGGAACUCUGAGACAGGUGCUGCAUGGCUGUCGUCAGCUCGUGUUGUGAAAUGUUGGGUUAAGUCCCGCAACGAGCGCAACCCUUAUCCUUUGUUGCCAGCGAUUCGGUCGGGAACUCAAAGGAGACUGCCAGUGAUAAACUGGAGGAAGGUGGGGAUGACGUCAAGUCAUCGUGGCCCUUACGAGUAGGGCUACACACGUGCUACAAUGGCAUAUACAAAGAGAAGCGACCUCGCGAGAGCAAGCGGACCUCAUAAAGUAUGUCGUAGUCCGGAUUGGAGUCUGCAACUCGACUCCAUGAAGUCGGAAUCGCUAGUAAUCGUGGAUCAGAAUGCCACGGUGAAUACGUUCCCGGGCCU